UCUCGAGCAACUGGUCAGCGUCCAUUGGGACUUAGCAUUUUGUUGGUUUUUCCAACAUCAGGUAUACCCCAUAUUACACUUAUAAUUCAUGAAGAUUAGGUUGUGUUCAUAAAGGUUCAAGUCUUUGACCUUAACAUUCAUGAAAAACCUCACAUGUUCGUGAUGAAAGGUCAACCACACCCGGUCCUUACUCCUCUCUCAAUUUCACCACCAUUAUUAUCGCAUUCAUCAUAAAAGACAAUUUGUUUAAUAUAUAAACUCAUCCUCCCUGACUCUUUUUCUUAUUUUUUUAUCCCCAUUUUACCAUUUUUAGAGCUUGGAGCAUGGGUAUGUAUGGGGAAUCAUCUAUUGAGGCCAAGGUAAAAGUUGAAAUGAGAAGAUGAGCAAGGAAACUUAACAAAAAUAAGCUGAGGAAAAGGUGGAAAAGAAAAAAUGUGAGCAAAAAGAGCAAAAUAUGAAAUGCGGGUCUAGGAAUAGACCCUUAGUUACUGCGAUCACGGCCAGUUAACAAGUCAACCGGAGGGCAUUCGCGAUAUGAUUACCGUGAUUACAGGAGUCGCGAACACGGUCAAGAGAUGGUGAUCGCGGUAGAGCAAAAAAAUUGCAAGGGUAUUUUUGUAAUAUUUGGCAAGUGUGGAAUAAAGGCUUAAAGAAGGGCUUUUAGCUCAUUUUUCACCAUAUCCAAUCUAUCCCUCAUCUUUAUCUUAGUUUUAGGGAUUUUAUCACUUGGAGCUUGGAGCAAAACUUUUACUAAUCUUGAGAUAAGAAAAAAUUAGAGUAACUCCUAAGUGAAGAAUUGACAAAUCCCAUUGAAGUUUCAUUGGAAUUCAAAGUGUGGUUUGCAUCCUCUUUAUCUUUCAUGAAUCAAAUUGAUGGAGAUUUUAGUA